GUGGCAAUGGGGUGAGGAUGGGGAGGGGAAUACCCAUAAAGAAGGGGAGGUGGAGGGGUUGGGGUAUGUUGGCCUGGAAACCGGGAAAGGGAAUAAUACUCAAAAUGUAAAUAAGAAAUACUCAAGUUAAUUUAAAAAAAAGAAAUGAAAGGAUCCAGUGUUAGAAAUAUGCACAAAAAAUUAAGCGAAAGACUACAAAAAUUUGGAAGGGAGAUGAGAUGCGGGCAGGUCUAGAAGGAGCAGGAGGGAUUGUGGGUGCACUUGAUCAGAGCACAUUGUAUUACAUGUACGAAAUGUUCCACAAAUGAAAAGCAAACCUUCCCAUCCUUUUGAUAUCUUUAUGCUGUGUUACAAUGCAAGGCUUUCAAGAGGAACACAGAUCAGAUAUCAGCUCCUGCUUCUUCUUUUACGGGUGUCCUUGUGGUGAAUAAAUUUUACAAGCAGAAAAAAAAUAAAGAAGUUCUUUUCUUGUUGAGGAUAGUUUUCUCUGUCAUGGGGUUUUUGUUUUUUCAAAUGAGUUUUCAAAUUGCUCUUUCUAACUGUAUGAAGAAGUGAGUUGGAUUUGUGAUAGCAAUUGCCUUGAAUAUGUUGAUUGCUUUUGGCAAGUUGGCCAUUUUUGCAAUAUUAACUCUACCAAUCCAUAAGCAUGGAAAAUCUUUCCAUCUGAGAUUUUCUUCAAUUUUUUUCUUCACAGACUUGAAGUACUUGUCAUAAAGAUCUUUUACUUGCUUGGUUGAAGUGACACUGAGGAAACUUUCUCCAGUGCCCAUGUGUUGAAGACUCUUCCCCAUCUUUUCUUCUAUUAGUGUAGUGCCCACCUCGACCAGCAAGGAAGACACAUCACCGUUGGAUUCUUCUCAACAGCCUUUAUUUCAGGAAAACCUCAUUCUUGAUGAGGGGGGCCCCGAGGGAAAAAAGGCACUCCCCCUAAAUACAAGAAAGGCUGUGGUUGUAAA